rnacentral:rRNA from 1 species
UACGUAGGGGGCGAGCGUUGUCCGGCUUUAUUGGGCGUAAAGGGCUCGUAGGCGGCCAACUAAGUCAGACGUGAAAUCCCUCGGCUUAACCGGGGAACUGCAUCUGAUACUGGAUGGCUUGAGUUCGGGAGAGGGAUGUGGAAUUCCAGGUGUAGCGGUGAAAUGCGUAGAUAUCUGGAGGAACACCGGUGGCGAAGGCGGCAUCCUGGACCGACACUGACGCUGAGGAGCGAAAGCCAGGGGAGCAAACGGG